rnacentral:rRNA from 1 species
AGCUCCAAUAGCGUAUAUUAAAGUUGUUGCAGUUAAAAAGCUCGUAGUCGAAUUUUGGAGCUGAGGCGGGCGGUCUGCCGUUUCGGUAUGUACUGCCUCGCCUGGCUCUUUUUCCUGGGGAACUGUCGGUGCGCUUCGGUGGGUCGGCAGCAAGCCAGGGUGUUUACCUUGAAAAAAUUAGAGUGUUUAAAGCAGGCGCAAGCUUGAAUAUAUUAGCAUGGAAUAACUGAAUAGGACUUUGGUCUUAUUUUGUUGGUUUAAAGACCAAGGUAAUGGUUAAUAGGAACAGUCGGGGACAUUUGAAUUGCUGAGCUAGAGGUGAAAUUCUUGGAUUUCAGCAAGUCAAACUAGGGCGAAAGCAUCUGUCAAGGAUGUUUUCA